rnacentral:rRNA from 1 species
GUUUGACCUCGGAUCAGGUAGGGAUACCCGCUGAACUUAAGCAUAUCAAUAAGCGGAGGAAAAGAAACCAACAGGGAUUGCCUCAGUAACGGCGAGUGAAGCGGCAACAGCUCAAAUUUGAAAUCUGACCCCCUCGGGGCCCGAGUUGUAAUUUGUAGAGGGUGUUUCGGGCGCGGCGCCGGUCUAAGUUCCUUGGAACAGGACGUCACAGAGGGUGAGAAUCCCGUAUGUGACCGGCGAUCAAGCCCAUGUGAAGCCCCUUCGACGAGUCGAGUUGUUUGGGAAUGCAGCUCAAAAUGGGUGGUAAAUUUCAUCUAAAGCUAAAUACUGGCCAGAGACCGAUAGCGGACAAGUAGAGUGAUCGAAAGAUGAAAAGCACUUUGGAAAGAGAGUCAAACAGUACGUGAAAUUGUUGAAAGGGAAGCGCUUGCAAUCAGACCGGUCCGGGGGCGAUCAGCCGCUGCUCGUCAGCGGUGCACUCGCCCUCGAUCCGGCCAGCAUCGGUUUGGGCGGCGGGAGAAAAGUCCCGGGAAUGUAGCUUCUUUCGGGGAGUCUUAUAGCCCGGGUCGGCAUGCCGCCCGCCUGGACCGAGGACCGCGCUUCGGCUAGGAUGCUGGCGUAAUGGUUGCAAGCGACCCGUCUUGAAACACGGACCAAGGAGUCUAACAUCUAUGCGAGUGUUUGGGUGUCAAACCCGGGCGCGGAAUGAAAGUGAACGGAGGUGGGAACCCGUCAGACGGCGCACCAUCGACCGAUCCAGAUGUCUUCGGAUGGAUUUGAGUACGAGCAUAGCUGUUGGGACCCGAAAGAUGGUGAACUAUGCCCGGAUAGGGUGAAGCCAGAGGAAACUCUGGUGGAGGCUCGCAGCGGUUCUGACGUGCAAAUCGAUCGUCAAAUCUAGGCAUAGGGGCGAAA